GAUGAACGCUAGCGGCAGGCUUAAUACAUGCAAGUCGUGGGGCAGCAUGGGGUAGCAAUACUCUGAUGGCGACCGGCAAACGGGUGAGGAACAUGUACGCAACCUUCCUUUAACUGGAGAAUAGCCCCUCGAAAGAGGGAUUAAUACUCCGUAAGAUAUUUUUAAGGCAUCUUAUUAAUAUUAUAGCUCCGGCGGUUAAAGAUGGGCGUGCACCUGAUUAGAUAGUUGGCGGGGUAACGGCCCACCAAGUCUGCGAUCAGUAACUGGUGUGAGAGCACGACCAGUCACACGGGCACUGAGACACGGGUCCGACUCCUACGGGAGGCAGCAGUAAGGAAUAUUGGUCAAUGGACGCAAGUCUGAACCAGCCAUGCCGCGUGGAGGAUUAGGGCCCUCUGGGUUGUAAACUCCUUUUAUCUGGGAGAAAUGUACUUUUUCUUGAGUACUUGACGGUACCAGAGGAAUAAGCACGGCUAACUCCGUGCCAGCAGCCGCGGU
rnacentral:rRNA from 1 species